rnacentral:rRNA from 1 species
CCUACGGGAGGCAGCAGUGGGGAAUAUUGGGCAAUGGGCGCAAGCCUGACCCAGCAACGCCGCGUGAAGGAAGACGGCUCUCGGGUUGUAAACUUCUUUUCUUAGGGACGAAGAAAGUGACGGUACCUCAGGAAUAAGCCACGGCUAACUACGUGCCAGCAGCCGCGGUAAUACGUAGGUGGCAAGCGUUAUCCGGAUUUAUUGGGUGUAAGGGGCGUGUAGGCGGGAAGGCAAGUCAGAUGUGAAAACUCAGGGCUCAACCCUGAGCCUGCAUUUGAAACUGUUUUUCUUGAGUGCUGGAGAGGCAAUCGGAAUUCGGUGUGUAGCGGUGAAAUGCGUAGAUAUACGGAGGAACACCAGUGGCGAAGGCGGAUUGCUGGACAGUAACUGACGCUGAGGCGCGAAAGCGUAGGGAGCAAACAGGAUUAGAUACCCGGGUAGUC